CCUACGGGAGGCAGCAGUGAGGAAUAUUGGUCAAUGGGCGGAAGCCUGAACCAGCCAAGUAGCGUGCGGGAUGAAGGCCCUACGGGUCGUAAACCGCUUUUGCACGGGGAUAAAACCCUCCACUUGUGGAGGUCUGCAGGUACCCUGCGAAUAAGCGCCGGCUAAUUCCGUGCCAGCAGCCGCGGUAAUACGGCGGGCCCGAGCGUUAUCCGGAUUCAUUGGGCUUAAGGGGUGCGCAGGCGGGCGUUAAAGUAAGCGUUAAAAGCGCGCGGAUAAACCGCGCACCGCAGUUGAAACUGGACGCCUUGAGUUCACAAGAGGCAGGAGGAAUUCGGGGUGUAGCGGUGAAAUGCAUAGAUAUCACGAGGAACCCCGAUUGCGAAGGCAGACUGCCGGGGUGAGACUGACGCUGAGGCGCGAAGGUGUGGGUAUCAAACAGGAUUAGAUACCCUUGUAGGC
rnacentral:rRNA from 1 species